UACUCGAGUGGCGAACGGGUGAGUAACACGUGGGUGAUCUGCCCUGCACUUCGGGAUAAGCUUGGGAAACCGGGUCUAAUACCGGAUAGGACCGCACUUUAGUGUGUGUGGUGGAAAGUUUUUUCGGUGUAGGAUGAGCUCGCGGCCUAUCAGCUUGUUGGUGGGGUAAUGGCCUACCAAGGCGGCGACGGGUAGCCGGCCUGAGAGGGUGUACGGCCACAUUGGGACUGAGAUACGGCCCAG
rnacentral:rRNA from 1 species